GAGAGAGAGAGAGCAGAUGUUUCGAACUAAGUAGAAGGGCAUUGAAAUGCUGUUGUCAAAUAGCCAUGAGUUGAUCAUUGUUAAGGCUGAAUGAUGAGAGCAUAGGGAUUCAUUAAGUAUUUUCUCUACUCUUAAAUAUGUUUGAAUUUUUCCAAUAAAAAGUGUUUAAACGCCUUUGCUUCUCUAUUGCUUCCAAGACGCACCGAGACUAGGCUUCUCUUGUUGCAUGAAGUUUAAAUAUUAGCUGUUAGAUUUUACCAUUCCAUCCUCAUCCCCAGCCCCUGCUAGCUGGCUACUGGAAGGGUAAAGAGCUCCUCUCCAGAUCUGGCCAGUGGACAACAUAUACUCCAAUAAAAUUUUUUUUAAAAAGAGUGCAGAUCUGGCCAGUGGGUACAGAGCAGCAGCUUUUUGGGGUGACAUCCACCAGUUUUGCAAAACAUUUUGACCUGGUUCACACCAGAAACUAGAGGGAUACUCGUGUCAGAGGCUGCAUCGCUCACACAAUUGCAGUCCACAGAGCCUCUGAGGGCCUUGAUUCCUGUUAUUGGCUGCAGUCCAGGGGGCAGAUGGUAACCAAGGGUGACCCCACAGUGAUGACAGAAACAGGACUGUUCUGGAGCCCUCCUCUGUCUUCAGUCAACCCUGCAGGUUGGCUCAGCUGCCCCAGGUCAUUUCUGAUCAACAUAACAUAUUUCUGCUGAUUCGAGAAUUCAACAACAGUCCUAAAUUUGGGGCCAGAUGACAUCAUCCCAAUAGGAGGGAAUGAUCUAGCUCCUAGGGUAGGGGUGAAUUCCUUUGCAGCCAAGAAGAGGCUCUGAGAGGUGCUCUGUGCUUUGGGGUGAGGAUCUUCCUGUAAGGGUGAGCUCAACUCACCCUCCCCUCCUUGGGGCAUGAGAGCUUCCUUGGUCUCAGUGUCUUCCCUGUUGUCUCCAGGACAUAAUCACAUGGACCUCGGCACCCUGUCCACUUUCUCAGUCUUCUCCCUUGGAGGCCACCUCCCCUUCCCCACUGUAGUGUUCGGCCCUCUCACCUCUCCCAGCUCUCACUCUAGAAGCACAGCAGAGGCAGCAGGAGUGUGAAGGUGGAGAGGACACUGCUGGGGAGGACACUGUUCUGCCACAGCCUGGGGCGUUUCGAUGUAGGCCAGUGAGUCACCGUGCUCGGCCUCACACCCGUCAUGCUCCUGUCCUCUCUGUCUUUCACUUCCCCCACCCACAGCUCCCAGAACCACGCCUCCCUUGGCUCCUACUCAGUCCCCAGGAAUCUGGUCCCAGCUGCUGUGUUCCAGCCUUCCCGAGGCUCCUGGUGUCCCAGAAACCCAGGAAAUCGACGCUCGGGACUCCCAGAGAGGAUGGCAUCUAGAAGAUGACAAAACUGAGUUUAAAUUAUUUGCCCGAACCAGCUGAUAACCAGCAAAAGAGUUUGGAAAGCACUCAAACCCAAUCCACAUGAGCCUCAUGUCUUCAUGCAGCUGAUGCCAUGCCAUAAAUGAAUGGCAGUGGUCCGUGGACGGACUUCAGAGGUUCCUUAAAUCUUAUAAGAAUGUGUGCAGAUUCCUGUGUCAUCAAAGUCUCAGAAAGUAACUCCUAAGUGAGAAAGUCCCUCUCACUCAAGCUUUUCUUCUCUGCAUUUCACCCAUGGGCCUGAAGCUCUUAUCAGGACGUGAUAGCGUAUUACAUACAACCUGUAUGCAUCUGCUUGUUGUUCCCUUCCACCACUAGAAGGUAAGCCUCGGGAGGGUGGGGCCCUCCUUUCUGACUCACCGCUGUUUCCACAGCUUUAGCGCUGCCUGGCUCACGGAGGGAACUCAGUUAAUAAUGAGACAAAGAACAGAUAAUGAAUGGACCACUUGGGCAAGCAGCCUGGCCUGAAUUUUCCUGAGGGCCCCAGCGCCUGCCUCAUUUCACCUCAUGUGCCUGACUCACCUUAGAGGAGUCACCUUGGCGACUAAGAGGGCAUUAGUGGGACCUGAUGGAGGCCGGGCGAGUGACGAUGUUAGCGGCACAACAAGGAGGACUGGAGGGAAACGCCUUGGAGGAGUAUCUAUGCUGCCCUCUGGUGAGCUCCUCGAGGGCAGGGAGGACUGAAACUUCUCCCUGAGAUUGUCACCAUCACCUAGCACCCCACACAGUAGAUGCUCAAUAAAUGACCAUUAUAUGGGCAAAUAGAUAAACAAAUGAGUGGUUUGGAGUUUCCCUGCCUAGAGAUCUUCAAAGGAGAGCAGACAACCAACUCUUCUGUGUAGUCCAAAGACAUUAUUCGCCUGCCCAAAGGCUGAGGGCUGUGCCCAAUGAUUUCUCAAGGUAACUCAGCUUCUAUAAUUAGAUUAUACCAAGAUACCAGUUCAAGGUUCUUUUCUCUUAUUGGCUAAGCAUUUAUUGACUACCGGCCAUAUCCAAGGUACUGAGCCAUUGUUCUCUAAAUCUAUUAGAGAUCCUAUUCUAUUAUUUUCUUCUAUGACUCCAUGUUGACAUAAGAUGCAAUAGUGUCCCCACCGCAGACACUCUUAGGUGAGGUCAGCCAAGGCAGAUGGGGAAGAAUCAGCAUUGUCUAAUCUAAAUGGAUAAGCUGGCACAGUGGGUUCCCCUGUGUUAGUUAAUAUUCCAUACCAUCCAGUCCCACUCAGCCUCCUCCCAGCUAAUAAACACAGCAUUUUUAGCUACCAAUAUCUGCUGCCUAUUAAUUGGUAUUAAAAUCUCCAAUUACUUUUUGCUUUCCCUUCCUUCUCCCACUCAUCCACCUGUUGUGUCAAACUGGGAAGAGUUGGUUUGGAACUUACAUCCAGUUUUGUUUUGUUUUUUUUUUUUGCGGUACGCGGGCCUCUCACUGUUGUGUCCUC